UACGUAUGGUGCAAGCGUUAUCCGGAUUUACUGGGUGUAAGGGGAGCGCAGGCGGCACGGCAAGCCUGAUGUGAAAGCCCGCGGCCCAACCGCGGGACUGCAUUGGGAACUACCGGGCUGGAGUGCCGGAGAGGUAGGCGGAAUUCCUAGUGUAGCGGUGAAAUGCGUAGAUAUUAGGAGGAACACCAGUGGCGAAGGCGGCCUACUGGACGGUGACUGACGCUGAGGCUCGAAAGCGUGGGGAGCAAAUAGG
rnacentral:rRNA from 1 species